rnacentral:rRNA from 1 species
UACGGGGGGGGCAAGCGUUGUUCGGAUUCAUUGGGCGUAAAGGGUGCGUAGGUGGCGGGGUUAGUCAGGUGUGAAAUCUCGGGGCUCAACCCCGAAACUGCACUUGAUACUGCCUUGCUAGAGUACUGGAGAGGAGAUUGGAAUUUACGGUGUAGCAGUGAAAUGCGUAGAUAUCGUAAGGAAGACCAGUGGCGAAGGCGAAUCUCUGGACAGUUACUGACACUGAGGCACGAAGGCCAGGGGAGCAAACGGG